rnacentral:lncRNA from 1 species
GUUUUCAAUGGCAGUAGCUUCAAUUUCCUUCCUGCUGGUGUGAAAAGGAUGACUGGAGCAGGCAGGGCUGAUCCAGGUGCAGGUGGGGAGGAUCAAACAGCCUGCCCACUGCUCCCUCUCCUCUCCUCACUGGGGCUGAGGGAGUCUCCUGUGGGAGAGAGGGGGCCAUCUUUCCUUCGUCCCCGAGGAGAGGUCAACCUGAUUGUGCUGCCCUUGCUUGCCUAGGGCAGUUGCUUCUCGGGUUGGUAGAUACUGGGCUUAGUGCUGGAAUGUGGAUACUGGACUCAUUUCUGAUUUUCUGGCUCUUCAGCAAUGUUGACCCAGGCCCUCCCUAUCACAUGGGAUUAGAGGAAGGAGGUUUAGGCAGGCAGAUCACAUGAGGUCAGGAGUUCAAGACCAGCCUGCCAACAUGGUGGAACCACGUCUCUACUAAAACAGGCAUGCUGGUGUGUUUCUGUAGUCC